rnacentral:rRNA from 1 species
UACGAAGGGGGCUAGCGUUGUUCGGAAUUACUGGGCGUAAAGCGCACGUAGGCGGGUCUGUAAGUAGGGGGGUGAAAUCCCAGGGCUCAACCCUGGAACUGCCUUCUAGACUGCAGGCCUCGAGGUCAGGAGAGGCGAGUGGAAUACCGAGUGUAGAGGUGAAAUUCGUAGAUAUUCGGUGGAACACCAGUGGCGAAGGCGACUCGCUGGACUGAUACUGACGCUGAGGUGCGAAAGCGUGGGGAGCAAACAGG